rnacentral:tRNA from 1 species
AUGUAGUUCAUUUGGUAGAACAUUUGCCUAAUAUGCAUAAAAUCCUAGGUUUGAUCCCCAGCGU